AUUGAACGCUAGCGGGAUGCCUUACACAUGCAAGUCGCACGGAGUGGCGGACUGGUGAGUAAUAUAUCGGAACGUGCCCAGUAGCGGGGGCUAACUACUCGAACGCGUGGCUAAUACCGCAUACUAUUAGAUCUGCCGAUCUCGGAUUAGCUAGUUGGUGGGGUAAAGGCUCACCACGGCAACGAUCCGUCGCUGGUUUGAGAGGACGACCAGCCACACUGGGACUGAGACACGGCCCAGACUCCUACGGGAGGCAGCAGUGGGGAAUUUUGGACAAUGGGGGAAACCCUGAUCCAGCCAUCCCGCGUGUAUGAUGAAGGCCUUCGGGUUGUAAAGUACUUUUGGCAGAGAAGCGGUAUCUGCAGAAUAAGCACCGGCUAACUACGUGCCAGCAGCCGCGGUAAUUC
rnacentral:rRNA from 1 species